UACGUAGGUGGCGAGCGUUGUCCGGAUUUACUGGGCGUAAAGGGCGUGCAGGCGGUUUGUUAAGUGCAGAGUGAAAGCUCCCGGCUCAACUGGGAGAGGUCUUUGCAUACUGGCAAACUCGAGGGAGGCAGAGGAAAGUGGAAUUCCCGGUGUAGUGGUGAUAUGCGUAGAUAUCGGGAGGAACACCUGUGGCGAAGGCGGCUUUCUGGGCCUUACCUGACGCUGAGGCGCGAAAGCUAGGGGAGCGAACGGG
rnacentral:rRNA from 1 species